UCCGGUUUGUCACCGGCAGUCUCCCAUGAGUCCCCAACUUAAUGAUGGCAACAUGGAACGGGGGUUGCGCUCGUUGCGGGACUUAACCCAACAUCUCACGACACGAGCUGACGACAGCCAUGCAGCACCUGUGUUCCGAUUCCCUUUCGGGCACACCCCCAUCUCUGGAGGCUCUCGGACAUGUCAAGGGUAGGUAAGGUUUUUCGCGUUGCAUCGAAUUAAUCCACAUAAUCCACCGCUUGUGCGGGUCCCCGUCAAUUCCUUUGAGUUUUAACCUUGCGGCCGUACUCCCCAGGCGGUCAACUUCACGCGUUAGCUUCGUUACCAAGGGAAUCAAUCCCCCGACAACCAGUUGACAUAGUUUACAGCGUGGACUAC
rnacentral:misc_RNA from 1 species